rnacentral:rRNA from 1 species
AGUAAGGAAUAUUGGUCAAUGGACGCAAGUCUGAACCAGCCAUGCCGCGUGGAGGAUGAAGGUCCUCUGGAUUGUAAACUUCUUUUAUUUGGGAAGAAACCACCGAUUUCUAUUGGUGUUGACGGUACCAGAUGAAUAAGCACCGGCUAACUCCGUGCCAGCAGCCGCGGUAAUACGGAGGGUGCAAGCGUUAUCCGGAUUCACUGGGUUUAAAGGGUGCGUAGGCGGGUUGGUAAGUCCGUGGUGAAAUCUCCAAGCUUAACUUGGAAACUGCCGUGGAUACUAUCAAUCUUGAAUAUAGUGGAGGUGAGCGGAAUAUGUCAUGUAGCGGUGAAAUGCUUAGAUAUGACAUAGAACACCCAUUGCGAAGGCAGCUCGCUACACUAUUAUUGACGCUGAGGCACGAAAGCGUGGGGAUCAAACAGGAUUAGAUACCCUGGUAGUCCACGCCCUAAACGAUGAUUACUCGACAUCAGCGAUACACUGUUGGUGUCUGAGCGAAAGCAUUAAGUAAUCCACCUGGGAAGUACGACCGCAAGGUUGAAACUCAAAGGAA